GAUGAACGCUAGCGGCAGGCCUAAUACAUGCAAGUCGAACGAUACUUUCCAGCUUGCUGGAAAGGAAGGUGGCGCACGGGUGCGUAACGCGUAUGCAACCUACCUUAAUCAGGGGGAUAGCCCGAAGAAAUUCGGAUUAACACCGCAUAAAAUCACAGUACAGCAUUGUACAAUGAUCAAAUAUUUAUAGGAUUAAGAUGGGCAUGCGUGACAUUAGCUAGUUGGCGGGGUAACGGCCCACCAAGGCGACGAUGUCUAGGGGAUCUGAGAGGAUGACCCCCCACACUGGUACUGAGACACGGACCAGACUCCUACGGGAGGCAGCAGUAAGGAAUAUUGGUCAAUGGAGGCAACUCUGAACCAGCCAUGCCGCGUGCAGGAAGACAGCCCUCUGGGUCGUAAACUGCUUUUAUUCGGGAAUAAACCUACUUACGUGUAAGUAGCUGAAUGUACCGAAGGAAUAAGGAUCGGCUAACUCCGUGCCAGCCGCCGCAGUAA
rnacentral:rRNA from 1 species